CCGCGUUCUCCGGCCACGGGCGGGCACCGGACAAGGCGCCUGAAGCCUCCCUCCUUAUCCCGAGCGGGAGGAGGGACGGCCACAGUGCGGCCCGAAAGCGGCGCCUGCACCGCCACCUCCGUCACCGGCCUGAUCCAGGGUCUGCGGCCCCCCGCCGCCUGGCAGGCCCCCGGCGACCCUGGUCCGCUGGCGUCCCCGCAGGAGGUUCCCCGCGGCGCGCGCACGGCGGGCGCUGCCUGGCCUUCGGAGGGGCGUCCCGAAAAGGGCCCUGGACGACGAGCAAGAGCCCCCCAGCACAUAGUUGCAUAUUCUUCGUUGUGGGUCCUUCUACUUGUGACAUGUGGGACGCUGCCUCAGCGUGGUUUGAUGAGCAGCGUCAUGUCCCCGCCCAGGAUUCGAACCAACGAAACACUACGCCGCCUGCAGCGGAGCGCGAGCGAACUUAACCACUCGGCCACGGGGCCAGCCCCCCAAAUGCUUUUGAAAGGACAGUGGCACUCUUCAGGGUGUCCCCUUGCUCCUGCUCACCUUCUAUAUGCAUGCAUGGUCCACCGCCACACCAUGCUGUGAAGUGACAAGAAUGACAGCAUUUGCAGGAAAUGUACAUUGCAACAUGACAAAGCAAGAAACACCUUUUGCAAAAAGCGUUAGAAGUUAAAGGACUGGCUGGUAAUGCCUCGGACAUCAGUUCUUAUCCUUCUGCUUUUGCAGUUGCUGAAUGUUGAAACAAGUCAGCUUGAAGUCGGGUAAUAAAUGGAUUCCAGCUUGAAUCUUGGCAGGAUUUGUUUUGCUUGAGGGAAGUUGUUUAUGCUAAGGGGUGCCCCCCCUGCAUAGUUCGAUUUAUAUUAUACAAAGUCUUGUCCAUCAUCUGGAUGCUGUUGUAAACAAUGUAAUCUUU
rnacentral:lncRNA from 1 species